UACGAAGGGGGGCUAGCGUUGCUCGGAAUCACUGGGCGUAAAGCGCACGUAGGCGGAUUGUUAAGUCAGGGGUGAAAUCCUGGAGCUCAACUCCAGAACUGCCUUUGAUACUGAGGAUCUUGAGUUCGGGAGAGGUGAGUGGAACUGCGAGUGUAGAGGUGAAAUUCGUAGAUAUUCGCAAGAACACCAGUGGCGAAGGCGGCUCACUGGCCCGAUACUGACGCUGAUGCACGAAAGCGUGGGGAGCAAACAGG
rnacentral:rRNA from 1 species